GCCUAUGUGGUAUAAUGGAUUGAGCACUGGAUUAUAGCUCCAGUGUACCAGGGUACAAUACCCUGCUGAGCCA
rnacentral:tRNA from 1 species